rnacentral:rRNA from 1 species
GAUGAACGCUGGCGGCGUGCCUAAUACAUGCAAGUCGAGCGAAAAGACGAGGCUCUUGCUCCUCUGACGUUAGCGGCGGACGGGUGAGUAACACGUGGUUAACCUACCUCUAAGACUUAGAUAAGUUCAGGAAACCGGAGUUAAGACCGGAUAAUAUAUUGAAGCGCAUGGGUCAAUAGUGAAAGACGGUUUUGCUGUAACUUAUAGAUUGAUCCGCGCCGCAUUAGCUAGUUGGUAAGGUAACGGCUUACCAAGGCAACGAUGGGCAGGCGAGGUGGGAGGCUGAUAGCCGACACGGGAGGUGAGACACGGUCCAUGGUCCUACGGGACGCAGCAGUCGGGUAUGUUCCGCAGCGGUGGGAAGUAUUGCAGAGUAAGGGGACGUCUGAUACAAAGGUGUCGGGUGCGUGAUGACCUCUUAUGAGUUAUAAACAAAUGUCUACGGAACUAUGCACGUCUUGACGGUACCUGAACAGAAAGCACCGGCUAACUACGUG